rnacentral:rRNA from 1 species
CCUACGGGUGGCAGCAGUGGGGAAUAUUGCACAAUGGAGGCAACUCUGACCCAGCAACGCCGCGUGAGUGAUGAAGGUCUUCGGAUUGUAAAGUUCUUUUCUAGGGGAAGAAGAAAGUGACGGUACCUUCGUAAUAAGCACCGGCUAACUCCGUGCCAGCAGCCGCGGUAAUACGGAGGAUGCAAGCGUUACUCGGAAUCACUGGGCGUAAAGAGCGCGUAGGCGGGAUAGCAAGUCAGAUGUGAAAUCCUAUGGCUUAACCAUAGAACUGCAUUUGAAACUGUUAUGCUAGAGUAUGGGAGAGGUAGGUGGAAGUCGUGGUGUAGGGGUAAAAUGCGUAGAGAGCAAGAGGAAUACUCAUGGCGAAGGCGACCUGCUAGAACAUAACUGACGCUGAGGCGCGAAAGCGUGGGGAGCAAACAGGAUUAGAUACCCGAGUAGUC